GACGAACGCUGGCGGCGUGCUUAACACAUGCAAGUCGAACGGAAAGGCCCUGCUUGCCGGGUACUCGAGUGGCGAACGGGUGAGUAACACGUGGGUGAUCUGCCCUGCACUUCGGGAUAAGCUUGGGAAACUGGGUCUAAUACCGGAUAGGAGCCAUCUUUAGUGUGGUGGUUGGAAAGUUUUUUCGGUGUAGGAUGAGCUCGCGGCCUAUCAGCUUGUUGGUGGGGUAAUGGCCUACCAAGGCGGCGACGGGUAGCCGGCCUGAGAGGGUGUACGGCCACAUUGGGACUGAGAGACGGCCCAGACUCCUACGGGAGGCAGCAGUGGGGAAUAUUGCACAAUGGGCGCAAGCCUGAUGCAGCGACGCCGCGUGGGGGAUGAAGGCCUUCGGGUUGUAAACUCCUUUCGCUAGGGACGAAGCUUUUUUGUGACGGUACCUAGACAAGAAGCACCGGCUAACUACGUG
rnacentral:rRNA from 1 species